GCCCAAGAGAUCGGGAUAACACCUGGAAACAAGAUGCUAAUACCGGAUAACAACAGAUGAUGCCUAUCAACUGUUUAAAAGAUGGUUCUGCUAUCACUCUUGGAUGGACCUGCGGUGCAUUAGCUAGUUGGUAGGGUAACGGCCUACCAAGGCGAUGAUGCAUAGCCGAGUUGAGAGACUGAUCGGCCACAUUAGGACUGAGACACGGCCCAAACUCCUACGGGAGGCAGCAGCC
rnacentral:rRNA from 1 species